UGGGGAAUAUUGGACAAUGGGCGCAAGCCUGAUCCAGCCAUGCCGCGUGAGUGAUGAAGGCCCUAGGGUUGUAAAGCUCUUUCACCGGUGAAGAUAAUGACGGUAACAGGAGAAGAAGCCCCGGCUAACUUCGUGCCAGCAGCCGCGGUAAUACGAAGGGGGCUAGCGUUGUUCGGAUUUACUGGGCGUAAAGCGCACGUAGGCGGACUUUUAAGUCAGGGGUGAAAUCCCGGGGCUCAACCCCGGAACUGCCUUUGAUACUGGAAGUCUUGAGUAUGGUAGAGGUGAGUGGAAUUCCGAGUGUAGAGGUGAAAUUCGUAGAUAUUCGGAGGAACACCAGUGGCGAAGGCGGCUCACUGGACCAUUACUGACGCUGAGGUGCGAAAGCGUGGGGAGCAAACAGG
rnacentral:rRNA from 1 species